GCUUUAAAUAUUUCCCACUGUAUGUUCAGCCUUUCACACAAACAGUUUUAUUUCCUAAACCCAAAUCCCUGCUGACAGUCUGCUUGGUGUGAAGUCCUUUGAAGAUUGGACAUGGCUCGUGUCAGCAGAGAGGGGCCGUGCUAUUGACGGUGACAUUUGUUUUAGGGAAGGUUACGACAAUGUGUCAAGAUGGACACCGGCCAGUGUGUUUCUGGGAUAGGAGAGGCGGACACCAGUUGUUUCAGUGUCUCGGGGUGUCGGAAGAGAUUUCACAGCUCCUUGAGCACAGUAAUCCUGGAGCUCUUGAUACAAGAUGGCAAAUAAAACGGCCCCCUGAACGAU